UACGAAGGGGGCUAGCGUUGUUCGGAAUCACUGGGCGUAAAGCGCACGUAGGCGGAUUGUUAAGUCGGGGGUGAAAUCCUGAGGCUCAACCUCAGAACUGCCUUUGAUACUGGCAAUCUUGAGUCCGGAAGAGGUGAGUGGAACUCCUAGUGUAGAGGUGGAAUUCGUAGAUAUUAGGAAGAACACCAGUGGCGAAGGCGGCUCACUGGUCCGGUACUGACGCUGAGGUGCGAAAGCGUGGGGAGCAAACAGG
rnacentral:rRNA from 1 species